AAUUGACUUCUAAUUCCAACUGAAGAGGAUUGACCUUCAAGUGGAGGGGGAUGUUUUUUAUUGUGGGUCACUUUGUGGCAGGGAUUAUCCUGCAUGGGGAUAAAUUGGCUGGCGACACGCAAGAACACCUUGUCAAAGGUAAAGGCAUGUCCGCAUAGUUGCUUUUGUCAUGGUUCUAAAUAAGAGGUUAGAGGUGUCAAUGUAGGGAGAGCUGCCACCUUCCUGACAAAAUAUUGCCAGACACACCGUAUAAAUGUGUCUUCACUCCUAUUCCUGUAGACCAGUCUGGAGCAGCACAGUUGCUGGAUUGGAGUUUGCAACGUGGGAAACUACCACUGGAUACUCUUAGUAAACUGCACAAGAUUGACUAUUUUAGUGAGAUUGGACAGUACUAUUCUUGAAUAUGUUAUGUUUGAGGCCAUUUUGAUAUACUGACUUGAAAUUACCGCUUGCGUUUAGGAUGUCAAUUGCAGGACCAACUCUGCCAUUGUCCUGGACCCUACUGGUUCCCCUAACGCGGAGAGCCAUAUGUGUGAGAACCUGGUGAAGCACAUCCGAUACUGGUUUGAGGAACGAACCUGCAGAACUGGGACAGAAUCUGUGUACAGCAAUGUUCCCUGGCAGGCGACAACGAUACCGCAAAGCGACGUCUACAAUCGUGGAGUUUAUGUGCUGCUGAACUUGACAGGACACUCAACUGCAGUUCCUGUGCAACAGAUGAGGGGGGGGCCAACUGGAGUGCUCCAGUUGAUCCGACACCUCCUGUGCUGGGGUAUCCAUCACCAUUUAAAAUCAACACAUGGAUAAUCCUGCCUUACAAUGGAUAUGCUCACCCUGCCACCCUGCCACAAUUGAAUACCUGCACACCAAGGCUACUAUUGGGUUGAUACUGUGUCAAAUUGAUAUAAUUUCCAGAGGUGUAAACGAUUUACAACUACAGUAGAUGGUAUAUUUUAGGGCUGUCC
ensembl:lncRNA